UACGAAGGGUGCAAGCGUUAUCCGGAUUCAUUGGGUUUAAAGGGUGCGUAGGUGGGGCGUUAAGUCAGUGGUGAAAGCCCGCAGCUCAACUGUGGAAUUGCCAUUGAUACUGGCGCUCUUGAGUGCGCUUGAAGUAGGCGGAAUGUGCCGUGUAGCGGUGAAAUGCUUAGAUAUGGCACAGAACACCAAUUGCGAAGGCAGCUUACUAAGGCGAUACUGACGCUGAGGCACGAAAGCGUGGGGAUCAAACAGGAUUAGAUACCCUGGUAGUCCACGCCGUAAACGAUGAUCACUCGUGAUUGGCGAUAUACGGUCAGUCACCUAGCGAAAGCGUUAAGUGAUCCACCUGGGGAGUACGAUCGCAAGAUUGAA
rnacentral:rRNA from 1 species